rnacentral:rRNA from 1 species
AUACCGAAGAUGUGAGUGCUUAUUGAUUUCGAUCAAUAGGCGCGGUAGCGGAGCGUUCCGUAAGUCUGUGAAGGUGGUUUGUGAAAACUGCUGGAGAUAUCGGAAGUGAGAAUGCUGACAUAAGUAGCGUAAAAGAGUGUGAAAAACACUCUCACCAAAAAUCUAAGGGUUCCUAUGUUAAGUUAAUCUGCGUAGGGUUAGUCGGUUCCUAAGGCGAGUCCGUAAAGGAGUAGUCGAUGGCAAUUAGGUUAAUAUUCCUAAACCUCUUAAGUGUGACGGGUUUCGUAUUUGUAUAGAUCUUAUUGGAUUGAUCUAUGCUUAAAAGAAGCUCCAGGAAAUAGCACUUAUAUUUAUGAGGCCGUACCGCAAACCGACACUGGUGGAUGAGUAGAGUAUACUAAGGUGUUGAAAGAAUGAUGUUGAAGGAACUCGGCAAAUUAUACCUGUAACUUCGGAAGAAGGGUAACCUGCUUUUAGGCAACUAUGAGUAGGUGGCACAAAAUAGGGAGUAGCGACUGUUUACUAAAAACACAGGACUCUGCAAACACGUAAGUGGAAGUAUAGGGUCUGACGCCUGCCCGGUGCUGGAAGGUUAAUAGGAAGGGUGCAAGCUCCGAAUUGAAGCCCCAGUAAACGGCGGCCGUAACACUGACGGUCCUAAGGUAGCGAAAUUCCUUGUCGGGUAAGUUCCGACCCGCACGAAUGGCGUAACGAUUUCUCCACUGUCUCCAACAUCACUUCAGCGAAAUUGAAUUCCCCGUGCAGAUGCGGGGUACCCGCGGUUAGACGAAGAGACCCCGUGCACCUUUACUAUAGCUUUACAUUGCUAUUAAAAGUGUGAUGUGCAGGAUAGGUGGGAGACUUUGAAGUUAUGGCGCUAGCUAUAAUGGAGUCAACCUUGAGAUACCACCCUUUACACUUUUGAUAUCUAACUAUGUUUCAUUAUCUGGAACUAGGACAUUGUAUGGUGGGUAGUUUGACUGGGGCGGUCGCCUCCUAAAAAGUAACGGAGGCGUGCGAAGGUAAGCUAGAGCUGGUCGGAAAUCAGCUUGAUAGUAUAAUGGCAUAAGCUUGCCUGACUGCGAGGCUGACAAGCCAAGCAGAGACGAAAGUCGGUCAUAGUGAUCCGGUGAUUCUGUAUGGAAGGGUCAUCGCUCAACGGAUAAAAGGUACGCCGGGGAUAACAGGCUGAUGGUGUUCGAGCGUUCAUAGCGACGACACCGUUUGGCACCUCGAUGUCGACUCAUCACAUCCUGGGGCUGAAGAAGGUCCCAAGGGUUCGGCUGUUCGCCGAUUAAAGUGAUACGUGAGUUGGGUUUAGAACGUCGUGAGACAGUUCGGUUUCUAUCUGCCGUGGGUGAAGGAAAUUUGAGAAGGUCUGACUCUAGUACGAGAGGACCGAGAUGGAUAUACCUCUGGUGUACCAGCUGUUAUGCCAAUAGCAUCGCUGGGUGGCUAUGUAUAGAUGGGAUAAUUGCUGAAAGCAUAUAAGCAAGAAACCCUCUUCAAAAAGAUUUCCCAAUUAAGGCCGUGGAAGACUACCACGUUGAUAGGCUAGGUGUGGAAGCAUGGUAACAUGUGAAGCUAACUAGUACUAAUAGCCUGAUUGAUUUAUUUGC